AGUGAACGCUGGCGGUAGGCCUAACACAUGCAAGUCGAACGGCAGCACAGUAAGAGCUUGCUCUUACGGGUGGCGAGUGGCGGACGGGUGAGGAAUACAUCGGAAUCUACUUUUUCGUGGGGGAUAACGUAGGGAAACUUACGCUAAUACCGCAUACGACCUACGGGUGAAAGCAGGGGAUCUUCGGACCUUGCGCGAUUGAAUGAGCCGAUGUCGGAUUAGCUAGUUGGCGGGGUAAAGGCCCACCAAGGCGACGAUCCGUAGCUGGUCUGAGAGGAUGAUCGGCCACACGGAAACUGAGACACGGUCCAGACUCCUACGGGAGGCAGCAGUGGGGAAUAUUGGACAAUGGGCGCAAGCCUGAUCCAGCCAUACCGCGUGGGUGAAGAAGGCCUUCGGGUUGUAAAGCCCUUUUGUUGGGAAAGAAAAGCAGCAGGUUAAUACCCCGCUGUUCUGACGGUACCCAAAGAAUAAGCACCGGCUAACUUCGUG
rnacentral:rRNA from 1 species